NGGUCCGUUGGUCAAGGGGUUAAGACACCGCCUUUUCACGGCGGUAACACGGGUUCGAAUCCCGUACGGACUAU
rnacentral:tRNA from 1 species